GACCACCAGCGGGGCGGGGCCAGGACCUCAGGCCGGGAGGGGCCAAGACUUCCGGCCGGGCGGGGCCUGGACCACCAGCGGGGCGGGGCCUGGACCACCAGCGGGGCGGGGCCAGGACCUCAGGCCGGGAGGGGCCAAGACUUCCGGCCGCGUGGUCCGGAAGACUCCGUGGCGCAGGGGUAGGGAGGGGGCAGUAGGCCUGGCGCCCCUUCACCCGGGCGGGGGGCGUCCGGAAGGCGAGCCCUGGACUGGGUACCGGCAUCCAGGUCUCGCGGCGCGACCCAGGGCCGGCCCUCCGGGGCACAGGAGGGGUCAGUGAGCUGGAGACCCAUCCGGCCUCUGGCCACUGCCUGGGCAGGGCAUCUCGGGCCCUCCGGGUCUCUUAGGGAGGCGGCAGGAUUGGCUGGCCUUUCUUUGCGUCCCUGGGUACACACGUGCGGCUGGGGAGGAUUUACAGGACUUACGGUGUCCAGAGAAGUGGGACAAAGGCCAGGAAGUUUUCUUGGACUUUGAAGCAAAUGCCAGAGGCCGCAGCAAAUAAAGUCACCGCUGAGUCCUUUCAGGGGUCCAGCCCAAACAUGUGUUAUUGCUAACCCGCACAGCUGAUUCUACUGGUAUUCUCCGCAUUGUACAGGUUCCUGUUUGAGGUUUCUCAACAUCUUGCCACCUUCAGGGGAGAACAGCAACCAUGGGCUAAGCAGACAAGCUGCCCUGUUCAAAUCCCAAGAGUCAUGAGGCAUCAUCUGUUGCUGCGAGAAGGGCAGGAAGCAAUUCAGAAGCCAGGGGAUUGCUGAGCAGCCUUCACGUGUAUUGGACACGUGUGAUGGCCUCCACGGUGGAAAGGUUGCAGGCUGUUAUUCUUUGUGAUGAAAUGUCCUUGAUCUGCAAGAAGUUCUUCUAAGACUUAGAGUCUGAGGGGAUCUUUAUGGUGGAGAUGGAGUGUCCUGGGCCCGAGGCCAAGGCGGGACAUCAUCUGAAGUAAAGAUGCUCCCUGCAGACCUGUCCUUUGUCCUUCACUGCCCUAUCUCUCGUGACUUUUACCAUGACUUUUACCAUGACUUUUACCAGCGUCAGGGUCCCUCCUGGAAUGUCCUACCUUAUCUGACUCUUCUCGAUCUUAGGGGCAAUCCAAACCUCAUUCCUCCCUGAAGUCUCAUCUCUGUUCCCAGCGCACUGGUCAUCUUGGCCUCUCUCCAAGAGCUGCUGGAAUAAUCUGUGAGCAGUUCCUGGGUCCCCUGCAACCGCCCACUAAAUCUCCAUCCCUAGCAUUGGACAGUCUGUCUGCUCAUUUUCCUGUAAUCUCCAGCAUUUUACACACAGAUCUUCAUAUUUGUGGAUGAGUGAACAUACCGUCUGGGGCUAUCUCUUUUGAAGGGGGCAGGUGUUAUGUCCUCUAAACACUAGGGCUCAGGAGGGUGCACCACAUCCUAUUGGGCUCUAUCCCCAGGGUCUAAGACAAGGUCUUGGUAAACACUGAAUCAACAUUUCUUAAAAGAAUACAUUUUCUGGACUUGUUCACACGUUGAAUCAAGUCACUGCUCCUGGAGGGUCAAGUGACCAAGCCCUUUAGUACAAAGCAAAAAAGGUGAACCCACCUUCUCCCUGAGUGGCCCCGUGGGCCUGUUCUGGGCCCUCCCCCAAAAGCCAUUCUGGAUGUGCCAAGUUCCCAGUGGCCUAGAAUGGGACUAAGCCAAUGGGGACGGUCCUGUUGUUGAGGGAGGAGGGUCAGCCUCCCCUGCAAACCAUCCCAUCCACCCUUCCAGGUGCCUUUAAAAUCCUCGGAGGUGUAACCCCCUCCUUCCCUCACCCCAUACUCACCCAUCAGCGUAGGCUGCUCUAGCCAGAGUGCCCCGGCCUCUAGCAUUGUACCCCCAUCACUUUGGCCCAAGCCCCUCACCUCCCCUGGAUCACUGGGGGAUGUCUGUCAGGAAAUGACCAAGGCAGGUCAUUUACCACUGGGUUCAAUUUUGCUGUAGAUCUGAGUUAUCUCCAGUGAUGAGUGGUACAUGCACAAAUCUUGCUAUUGGGGGGGUCAUUGCAAACAGACUGGACUGUGGGCCAUGGACCAUCACUUACUAGCAAGGAGGCCCUCUGCAGUCACAGAACCUGCUCUGUGAGCACACGGAGGGCUGAAGACCUGUCCUUUUAGGUGUUGUCACAAGCUUCCUUGUUCAAAGAUUUAGUCCAAAGCAGAAGCAACAAUAUUUGAGGAACGAGAUCCAGCCAGCCUGCAAUUCGGGAUCAGAUGAUGGCGUCCUCAGCAGCUUGAACCUGAGGCCAGACGGACAUCUAAGACCCAGGGCCCACCGAGCCUCGUGCGCUGUCCGUGCGAGAGCAGAGGCCCUUGGGCGGCACCUCACGUGCGGGAACUCCGCCACUGGAGCAUCUGUGUGCUCACGAGCAGAUCCCCUGCUGCCCAGAUGCUCUCCCGCCAUGGAGGCAUUGGAGGAAGAGCCCCUGGAGUGUGGGCUUCUGCGGAAAGUCCUCACUGCCUCAGGCAGCCCUUCUCCAAGCACGGUCCCUGGGACCCUUUCAGAGGGUCUGUGAGGUCCACAGUAUUAUCUCCAUAAUAGAAAAUAUAAUUCUCACGAGUGCAGAGUGGAGUCUCCAGGACUGACACUCUUCUCACUAAAUGUUUAUUGUCUUUGAAAAUAUACUUGAACUCAGCUAACAUACAGUGGUGGUAUUAUAGUUAUUUAAAACACAUUUUAACACAGCCAUAGGGGUCAUUUGCAAUUUUAACUUAGGAUAAACAUGAAUAAUCUGUAUUAACAAAGUUCGGGGCCUCAAAUUUUAAGAGUGAGAAAUAGUCUUGAGACUAAAAUGUCUGAACACCAUCACUCUGUGGUUCAGCAAGCUUUCUCUGUUUGGGCCAGAUGGGAGAGUUUCAGCUCUGCAGGACACCCCAUCGCGGUCUGUGCUCCACCAGCCUCUGCUCUGAAAGCUGCCAUACCAGGCACGUGGGAUUGGCUGUGUUCCAGCUAGACGUUACGUAUCAGCACUGCAACCUGAAUUUUAUAUAAUUGACGCCCCUCAAAGCAUUAUCUUUUGAUUUUUAUGAGCCAUUUAAAAGUGUAAGUGUGAAAACAAUUCUUAGCUGUCCAAAAGGAGGCAUUGGGCCAAAGCUUGUCCACGGGCUGUAGUUUUCUGUAGUUAUGGGUUUCUGUAGUGAUGGGUUCAAACUCUUAACACAUCACAUUAUUUCAACUGAAAU